CAAACCAGCAAGAAGAGAGAGAAAAUAAAAACCAAACCCUAUAGAGAGAAAAUCAAAGAAAAAGUGUGAAUUUUCAAGGAAUUUAAGUGAAAAAGGUAAGAUUUUUUCUAUUAAGCUUGAGUUUGUUUAUUCCCAAGCAUUUCUCUUUAUUUUUCAUGAUUAAAUUGCAUGUUUUCAUGGCUGGUCAUAUGGGUCUAGAGAGAGAAAAUUGUUGGAUUGAUUUGAUUUUGAUAUAUGUUAGUGUUUAGUGUUAGUUUAGCAUGUUAGUAAACAAAAUAUGUAGAAAAACAUUCAUUUUUUCCCAUUACCUAGCCUUAAUUGAAUUUUCAAGUCAAUGGUGAGGAAGAAUGUGAUGUUAUUUUAGGUUAUUUGAUUAUGAAAUCAUGGUUUUUGAUAUGGAAAUUAAUGAAUAAUGGAAAGAAAAUCAAGUAGGAAAAAUUGUGACAAUGAUGCACCAUUUCGGCCGAAUUUUUCCAAGAAGGAAUAUGAAUGUGGCUUUGCUGAUUUUUGGGUUAUUUGGCUGGACAUUGGUGAUUUGAAGCAUUAGAAAAAGAAAUGGGAUCAAUUGGAGCUAAAUUGGAUGCGUAUUUCAAUUUAUCGGGUAAAAGACCGAAAUAGGUCAAUACGGUGUUUAGGCAAAAUUUAGACCUUUUGCAUUCCAUAUCACGCAUUAGUAGUCUAAAUUAGUUUAAUUUCAAUUUAGUACCAAUGUGGUGAAUUUCUCGAUUUUGUACUGUGUCAAGGUGGUGAGUUGUAAAACCCGACCCUAUAAACACAUGUCAUGACAUACAUGCACUGAGUAGCAUGAUAUUAUGCUAGGAAAGUCCUAAGAAUAGACCAAACCCGGUAUUGUACCUAACGGUACACUUGAGUUGAUUUAACCUCGAACUAGUUCAAAUAGGAAUCGUAGGAUGAAAUUUAAUAUUUUACAGUCUAUGAAUGACUAAAAAUGAUUGUUCGGAGUUCGAUGGUUCAUUUGGGAAAAAAUUGAAAAUUUUGAUGUUUAGGGGCAAAAUCAUCAUUUUGCCACCUAAGAUAAUAAUUUGAUCAUGGAGUGAAAUGUUUGACCAAGAUUAACUAUUUGGAGUAUAAUUUAAUGAUAGGAAGUGAAAAUUUUCAAUUUCGGCAAUUUUCGGAACAUAAGGGUAAAACGAUAAUUUUAUCAUCCAGGGGUAAAAACCGUAAUUUUCACCACCCCAAACUUGUCAAAAUCAUAGGAUUUAUUUAUUUUUGGUAUGAAUAACUAUGGUAUGUUAAGUGGUGAAAAAUUGAAGUUUAAAGGAUGAAAUUUUAAAAACGGGCCAAUGGGAAAGUGACGCAUGACACUUUUUAAUAAUUUAAUAUUAUUUUAAUGAAAAGUCAGCCCAUUUAAACCCCAUAUUAAGUGAUGGCCGGCCAUAAGGAGAGAACAAGUGAGAAAAUAGAGAGGAAAGGAAGAAAAGAGAAAAACCAAAGGAAAACUAGAAAAUUCAAAGGGGAAAUCGCGUUUUUCGAUCGUUUACGCGUCUAACGAUAAAAUUUUUCGACUUUAGCUUGAUUUCUACCUUUCUUAUGCCUUUGUUUCCAUUUUGCAUGCUUGAGGAGAGAGAUCAAAAAGUGAUAUCAAGGGCUGGAUGAAAUUCAAGAGGGAGGAAUUUGAAAUUUUUAUGUUUUGAUUUUUAGUUAAGUAGAUAGUUUUAGUUAGUUAAAUGUGUAUAGAAAUCAAAUUGGGCAAGAAAGCAUGAAAUUUUCAGAAUACCCACCCUUGGCUGAAUGUUCAAUGAUGUAUAAUGAUGAUGAACUAAUUUUUAUUCUAAUAGCAAUGAAGAGAAAAUGAUGAAAAAUGGUUAAAUGUGAUAGAAAAACAAAGUGGAAAAUUAACCGAGUUAUGUCCCAUUUUUGGCCAAAUUUUUCCAAGGAGAAAAGUGAGCUGAUUUUGGUGAUUUUAGAAGGUUAUUGGCUGAUAUUUAAUGGUUAGAAAUGUUGGAGAGAAAAUGGGACAAUUUAGAGCUAAAAUGGAGCGUGUUAGCAAUUUAACAGGUAAAGUGUCAAAAAUAGGUUAAUACCGCGUUUGAGCCGUUUUAGGCUAUUGCAUUUCAUACCAUGCAUUAGUAUAGGAUUUAAGUCAAUUAUAUAGUGAUUUAGCAUCAAUGUGGUGAAUUGGGUAAAUUUUGCAAUGUGUUUAGGAGGAGAGCCUUCCGAAAAAGGCAAGGAAGUCGUACCCGAUGAACAGUAAUCGGGGCACCUAAAAAGCAAUUAGUUUGUACAAACGGUGAGUAAACCUAUUAUUAUUGUAAAUUAUCUAGAGUUUAUUUUUAAAUGAUCUUUAUGGAUUUUAUGAAAUAAAAAUGAGAUUAAAA
rnacentral:lncRNA from 1 species